AUUUACGAAUCAUUUAACAGAAGCUUUGAUUAGAUCUUACCUAUUCCCUGUAAUAACACCUGAAAGACUAGAAAAUGCAUCAGCUUUGUUUUUGGAGGGGAUUACAAGCAUCUUGAAAUCCAAGGCAGUAAAAGCUGUACAUAGCACCGAAAUCCGUAUUGAUCAUGACAUAGUAAGAUACAUAUUUAAGGGCUGUGGUAAAUUAGCUGCUGACAAGAAGUCUAUGUUUUAUGAGAAAUCUGAUUUCAAAA